AUACGUAGGUGGCAAGCGUUGUUCGGAAUUAUUGGGCGUAAAGCGCGCGCAGGCGGUCCUUUAAGUCUGAUGUGAAAGCCCCCGGCUCAACCGGGGAGGGUCAUUUGAAACUGGGGAACUUGAGUGCAGAAGAGGAUAGUGGAAUUCCAAGUGGAGCGGUGAAAUGCGUAGAGAUUUGGGGGAACACCAGUGGCGAAGGCGACUGUCUGGGCUGUAACUGACACUGAGGCGCGAAAGCGUGGGGAGCAAACAGGAUUAGAUACCCUGGUAGUCCACGCCGUAAACGAUGAGUGCUAAGUGUUGGGGGGUUUCCGCCCCUCAGUGCUGCAGCUAACGCAUUAAGCACUCCGCCUGGGGAGUACGGUCGCAAGACUGAAACUCAAAGGAAUUGACGGGG
rnacentral:rRNA from 1 species